GACGAACGCUGGCGGCGUGCCUAAUACAUGCAAGUCGAGCGAACUUGCGGGAGCUUGCUCCCAAAAGUUAGCGGCGGACGGGUGAGUAACACGUGGGCAACCUGCCUAUAAGACUGGGAUAACUUCGGGAAACCGGAGCUAAUACCGGAUAAUACUUUUCUACUCAUGUAGGAAAGCUGAAAGAUGAUCUCGGCUAUCACUUAUAGACGGGCCCGCGGCGGAGUAGCUAGUUGGUGAGGUAACGGCUCACCAAGGCGACGAUGCGUAGCCGGCCUGAGAGGGUGAUCAGCCACACUGGGACUGAGACACGGCCCAGACUCCUACGGGAGGCAGCAGUGGGGAAUCUUCCGCAAUGGACGAAAGUCUGACGGAGCAACGCCGCGUGAGUGAUGAAGGUUUUCGGAUCGUAAAACUCUGUUGUUAGGGAAGAACAAGUACUAGAGUAACUGCUAGUACCUUGACGGUACCUAACCAGAAAGCCACGGCUAACUACGUGCCAGCAGCCGCCGUAACAC
rnacentral:rRNA from 1 species